AUUGAACGCUGGCGGAAUGCUUUACACAUGCAAGUCGAACGGUAGAGGGGGCAACCCCUUGAGAGUGGCGAACGGGUGAGUAAUAUAUCGGAACGUGCCCAGUCGUGGGGAUAACGUAGCGAAAGUUACGCUAAUACCGCAUACGAUCUAAGGAUGAAAGCGGGGGAUCGCAAGACCUCGCGCGAUUGGAGCGGCCGAUAUCAGAUUAGGUAGUUGGUGAGGUAAAGGCUCACCAAGCCAACGAUCUGUAGCUGGUCUGAGAGGACGACCAGCCACACUGGAACUGAGACACGGUCCAGACUCCUACGGGAGGCAGCAGUGGGGAAUUUUGGACAAUGGACGCAAGUCUGAUCCAGCCAUUCCGCGUGCAGGAUGAAGGCCCUCGGGUUGUAAACUGCUUUGUACGGAACGAAAGGUUUGUCUUAAUACGAUGAGCUCAUGACGGUA
rnacentral:rRNA from 1 species